UCUACAGGCAAUAUCUCUUGCGUCACACAUCAACAUGACAAAUGACAAACUAAAUAUUAGAACACAAGAGCCUCAGGAGAUUUAUAGCUUGAAAAAUGCUCAGAGGUUACAAAGCGUGAGAACAUCAACUAGAUGGUUGGAAGAACAUCCCGAC